UACGAAGGGGGCUAGCGUUGCUCGGAAUUAUUGGGUUUAAAGGGUGCGUAGGCGGGUUGUUAAGUCAGUGGUGAAAGCUCCGAGCCCAACUCGGAAACUGCCAUUGAUACUGACGAUCUUGAGUACAUUUGAGGUGGGCGGAAUGUGUCAUGUAGCGGUGAAAUGCUUAGAGAUGACACAGAACACCGAUUGCGAAGGCGGCUCACUAAACUGUAACUGACGCUGAGGCACGAAAGCGUGGGGAGCAAACAGG
rnacentral:rRNA from 1 species